rnacentral:rRNA from 1 species
CGGCAGCAGGUCCUUCGGGAUGCUGGCGAACGGCGUGACGGGUGAGUAACACGUGGGAAUCUACCUUUCGGUGGGGGAUAACCCGGGGAAACUCGGAUUAAUACCGCAUACGCCCUACGGGGCAAAGCAGGCCUCUGAUUUAAGCUUGCGCCGAUAGAUGAGCCCGCGGCCGAUUAGCUAGUUGGUGGGGUAAAGGCCUACCAAGGUGACGAUCGGUAGCUGGUCUGAGAAGACGAUCAGUCACACCGGAACUGAGACACGGUCCGGACUCCUACGGGAGGCAACAAUUGGGGAAUAUUGGACAAUUGGGCCAAAACCCUGAAUCCAAGCAAAUGCCGCCGUGGGUUAAGAAGGCUUUAAGGGUGUUAAAGCCCCUUCAACAAGGGAAGGAAAAGCGUUACCGGUUAAUAAUCCGUUGCCGUGUUGAACGUUAACCUUGCAAGAAGGAAACAACCGGCUAACUCCCGUGCCCAACAAGCCGCCGGUUAAUAACGGAGGGGUGCAAGCCUU